UCCCUGGUGGCUCAGAUGGUAAAGCGCCUGUCUAGAAUGUGGGAGACCUGAGUUCAAUUCCUGGGCCAGGGAA
rnacentral:tRNA from 1 species